AUUAUUAUACCAGCAAUCCAGCCUGAAGGACUUAGCUCAUAGAUGUCUUCUGAAAUGUGGAAGAAAUACUUUCGUUUGUCAUAAAACCUCAGCAGGAGAUUGGAGUCUGGAAGAGGGAGGGGAGAAGAGGAGGACCUCAGGGAGAUUGUUUUGCUUAUUGGUGUUUAAUUAAAAACCAAACAACUUUUCCUAUUAACUUGAUGCUACUUAUUAAUUGAAAUGAGGAGACUGACUCUGGAUAUUGGGAAAAUUUAUGGGCACAUACAGAGGAAAAGACAUGUGGGGACAUAAUGAGAGGACAGCCAUCUGCAAGCCAAGAAGAGAAUCCUCACCAGAAACCAACUUGACUGGAAUCUUGAUCUUGAACUUCUUGCUUCCAGAAUUAUGAGAAAAUAAAUUGUUGUUUAACCCACACAGUCUAUUGUACUUAGUUGUAGCAGUCUGAGAAGACUAAUACAUUGAUAAACUGGUCAGUUACAACAAUGAAUAUAUUAUUUAUACAUUAUAUAAAUGAUUAUAGUUUCUGUAUUAGCUUAGAUUUUGCAAAUUUGUCAAUAGCUUUGUCCAAGUUGAUUUUCUUUAUAUAUUCCUAUUUCAUAGACUAUAUUAGCUAGAUUUGUCAAUCUAUCUUACUCAUAAUGACUGAAGAACACUUUUAAAUUCAAUUUAAAAGGUUUUUGUCACAUAAAGCAACAAAUAUAAAACUAGAAAAAAUAUAAAUAUGAAUAUAAAUUUGAAGGAAAUUAAUAAAAAUCGUAUUGUACCAUAUAUUCCAGAAAUUUUAAACACUGAUGAAAACUUCAAGUGGUACCAAGGAAUGAGAGAAUUGAAGUAAUUCAAGUGUUAUAUUUCAUCUUUUCUAUCACUAGGUUGUCAUCAAUUAUUUCAAAUCUGUUUUUUUUUUUAUUGUAAUUAAACUUCUAAGUUCAGG
rnacentral:lncRNA from 1 species